UUUAAAGAGAGUUUGAUCCUGGCUCAGGACGAACGCUGGCGGCGUGCCUAAUACAUGCAAGUCGAACGAACGGAGGAAGAGCUUGCUCUUCCAAAGUUAGUGGCGGACGGGUGAGUAACACGUGGGCAACCUGCCUGUAAGUUGGGGAUAACUCCGGGAAACCGGGGCUAAUACCGAAUAAUAAGUGGUGGCGCAUGCCACGGCUUUGAAAGAUGGUUUCGGCUAUCGCUUACAGAUGGGCCCGCGGUGCAUUAGCUAGUUGGUAGGGUAAUGGCCUACCAAGGCAACGAUGCAUAGCCGACCUGAGAGGGUGAUCGGCCACACUGGGACUGAGACACGGCCCAGACUCCUACGGGAGGCAGCAGUAGGGAAUCUUCCGCAAUGGACGAAAGUCUGACGGAGCAACGCCGCGUGUAUGAAGAAGGUUUUCGGAUCGUAAAGUACUGUUGUUAGAGAAGAACAAGGAUAAGAGUAACUACUUGUCCCUUGACGGUAUCUAACCAGAAAGCCACGGCUAACUACGUGCCAGCAGCCGCGGUAAUACGUAGGUGGCAA
rnacentral:rRNA from 1 species